rnacentral:ncRNA from 1 species
CAAAAGGCGAAGUGAACCUUCGCCUAGUCUUAUAUAAGGCGAAACUCUCAAAUUGCGGGGAACUCUUAAGAACAAAUCUACCAAGUUAAUAUAGUAAUAUAAUUAAUGGAACAGGUAAUGACUCGUUGUAUGGUAAAAACGAUUUGUAUAUGUAGAAUAUCCGCAGCCAAGCACCAAGUAUUCGCUACCCCCUCCAGCUUCGCUGGAGGGGGGGAAGGAAUAACGGUGUGCAGUUCAUCGACUAAAUGUGAGUUGGGUUUUAUUAAUAUGAAAGGAUAUUAAUAAAUACCUUAAGAUAUAGUCAGGCUCAAUACAUGAGUAUUGG